rnacentral:rRNA from 1 species
GACGUAGGAGGCGAGCGUUGUCCGGAUUCAUUGGGCGUAAAGAGCACGCAGGCGGUUUGGCAAGUCUUUUGUCAAAGAUCAGGCUUAACCCUGGGCCGGCAAGAGAAACUAUCAGACUAGAGUUCGGUAGGGGCAGAGGGAAUUCCCAGUGGAGCGGUGAAAUGCGUAGAGAUUGGGAGGAACACCAAAGGCGAAAGCACUCUGCUGGGCCGCAACUGACACUGAGAGACGAAAGCGAGGGGAGCAAAUGGG